rnacentral:rRNA from 1 species
AGGUAGGGAUACCCGCUGAACUUAAGCAUAUCAAUAAGCGGAGGAAAAGAAACCAACAGGGAUUGCCUCAGUAACGGCGAGUGAAGCGGCAACAGCUCAAAUUUUAAAGCUGGCGCCUCUGGCGCCUGCAUUGUAAUUUGGAGAGGCACCUUCGGUUAGGGCGCUAGCCUAUGUUCCUUGGAACAGGACGUCACAGAGGGUGAGAAUCCCGUGCUUGGCUGGCUGUCCCUUUCCAUGUGAAGCGCCUUCGACGAGUCGAGUUGUUUGGGAAUGCAGCUCAAAAUGGGUGGUAAAUUCCAUCUAAAGCUAAAUAUUGGUGGGAGACCGAUAGCGCACAAGUAGAGUGAUCGAAAGAUGAAAAGCACUUUGAAAAUAGAGUUAAAAAGUACGUGAAAUUGUUGAAAGGGAAGCGCUUGAGACCAGACUCGGCCCCAGGUGAUCAGCCAUCCUUCUGGGUGGUGCAUUUGCCUUCGGUCGGGCCAGCAUCGGUUGAGACGGCGGGACAAAGGUCUUGGGAAUGUGGCUCCUCUCGGGGAGUGUUAUAGCCUGGGAUGCAAUGCCGUCAGACUGACCGAGGAC